rnacentral:tRNA from 1 species
CGGAGUGUAGCGCAGUCUGGUAGCGCACCUCGUUCGGGACGAGGGGGGCGCAGGUUCAAAUCCUGCCACUCCGACCA